rnacentral:rRNA from 1 species
GCCCUAGUAACGGCGAGUGAAGCGGCAACAGCUCAAAUUUGAAAUCUGGCUCUCGGGCCCGAGUUGUAAUUUGUAGAGGAUACUUUUGAUGCGGUGCCUUCCGAGUUCCCUGGAACGGGACGCCAUAGAGGGUGAGAGCCCCGUCUGGUUGGAUGCCAAAUCUCUGUAAAGUUCCUUCAACGAGUCGAGUAGUUUGGGAAUGCUGCUCUAAAUGGGAGGUAUAUGUCUUCUAAAGCUAAAUACCGGCCAGAGACCGAUAGCGCACAAGUAGAGUGAUCGAAAGAUGAAAAGCACUUUGAAAAGAGAGUUAAAAAGUACGUGAAAUUGUUGAAAGGGAAGCGUUUAUGACCAGACUUGGGCUUGGUUAAUCAUCUGGGGUUCUCCCCAGUGCACUUUUCCAGUCCAGGCCAGCAUCAGUUUUCCCCGGCGGAUAAAGGCGGCGGGAAUGUGGCUCUCUUCGGGGAGUGUUAUAGCCCACCGUGUAGUACCCUGGGGGGGACUGAGGUUCGCGCAUCUGCUAGGAUGCUGGCGUAAUGGUCAUCAACGAACCGUCUUGAAACACGGACCAAGGAGUCGUCUUCGUAUGCGAGUGUUCGGGU